rnacentral:rRNA from 1 species
UGGGGAAUAUUGGACAAUGGGGGCAACCCUGAUCCAGCAAUGCCGCGUGUGUGAAGAAGGUCUUCGGAUUGUAAAGCACUUUCGACGGGGACGAUGAUGACGGUACCCGUAGAAGAAGCCCCGGCUAACUUCGUGCCAGCAGCCGCGGUAAUACGAAGGGGGCUAGCGUUGCUCGGAAUGACUGGGCGUAAAGGGCGUGUAGGCGGUUUACACAGUCAGAUGUGAAAUCCCCGGGCUUAACCUGGGAGCUGCAUUUGAUACGUGUAGACUAGAGUGUGAGAGAGGGUUGUGGAAUUCCCAGUGUAGAGGUGAAAUUCGUAGAUAUUGGGAAGAACACCGGUGGCGAAGGCGGCAACCUGGCUCAUGACUGACGCUGAGGCGCGAAAGCGUGGGGAGCAAACAGGAUUAGAUACCCUGGUAGUCCACGCUGUAAACGAUGUGUGCUAGAUGUUGGGUAACUUUGUUAUUCAGUGUCGCAGUUAACGC